ensembl:misc_RNA Metazoa_SRP Metazoan signal recognition particle RNA
GCCGGGUAUGGUGGCGCAUGCCUAUAAUCCCAGCUACUUGGGUGGCUGAGGCAGAAGAAUUGCUUGAAUCCAGGAGGUGGAGGAUGCAGUGAGCCAAGAUUAUGCCACUGCACUCCAGCCUGGGUGACAGAGCAAGACUCUGUCUCAA